CGGGUGGUAAUGCCGGAUGCUCCGGUUGGAUGCAUGUCCUUCCGGGAAAGAUCCGUCGGUAUGGGAUGGGGUCGCGUCCUAUCAGCUUGAUGGCGGGGUAACGGCCCACCAUGGCUUCGACGGGUAGCCGGCCUGAGAGGGCGACCGGCCACAUUGGGACUGAGAUACGGCCCAGACUCCUACGGGAGGCAGCAGUGGGGAAUAUUGCACAAUGGGCGCAAGCCUGAUGCAGCGACGCCGCGUGCGGGAUGGAGGCCUUCGGGUUGUAAACCGCUUUUGAUCGGGAGCAAGCCCUUCGGGGUGAGUGUACCUUUCGAAUAAGCACCGGCUAACUACGUGCCAGCAGCCGCGGUAAUACGUAGGGUGCAAGCGUUAUCCGGAAUUAUUGGGCGUAAAGGGCUCGUAGGCGGUUCGUCGCGUCCGGUGUGAAAGCCCAUCGCUUAACGGUGGGUCUGCGCCGGGUACGGGCGGGCUGGAGUGCGGUAGGGGAGACUGGAAUUCCCGGUGUAACGGUGGAAUGUGUAGAUAUCG
rnacentral:rRNA from 1 species